rnacentral:rRNA from 1 species
UGAGAAUCCACAUGGCCGGAAACCUCAGGUUUUUGGAGGAAGGUUCGUCCGCUCCAAGUUAGGCGGGAGCUAAGGUCAGGCCGCAAGGCGUAGCCGAUGCACAGACGGUAGAGAUUCCGUCCCCACCGAAAGAUUUAAGCACAGGGACACUUUUAGAAGGUCGGAGCCAGGUGUUGGUUCUGGUAGUGAUCGAGGGAAAUAUAGUACCGAAGUCCGGCUGGAAGAGAGGCGAGAAAAGCUGUGUGUAUAUCUAAGGUGCCCGUACCGCAAACCGACACAGGUAGGUAGGAAGAAGAUUCUAAGGCCAACGGGAGAAGGGUUGUUAAGGAACUCGGCAAAUUGACCCCGUAACUUCGGGAGAAGGGGUGCUCCAGAGAUGGAGCCGCAGAGAAUCGGCCCAAGCAACUGUUUACCAAAAACACAGGUUUGUGCUAAAUCGAAAGAUGACGUAUACGAGCUGACGCCUGCCCGGUGCUGGAAGGUUAAGAGGAGAUGUGCAAGCAUUGAAUUGAAGCCCCAGUGAACGGCGGCCGUAACUAUAACGGUCCUAAGGUAGCGAAAUUCCUUGUCAGGUAAGUUCUGACCCGCAUGAAAGGCGUAAUGAUUUGGGCACUGUCUCAACAGCCCGCCCGGCGAAAUUGUAGUACCGGUGAAGAUGCCGGUUACCCGCGACAAGACGGAAAGACCCCAUGGAGCUUUACUGUAGCCUGAUAUUGGGUUUCGGUGUUGCAUGCACAGGAUAGAUGGGACGCUGGGAAAGAAGCGCUUUGGCGUUUCUGGAGCGGACGUUGGGAUACCAUCCUUGCGACAUUGGAAUUCUAACCUGCGCCUCUGAAUCGAGGCGGGGGACAUUGUCAGGUGGGCAGUUUGACUGGGGCGGUCGCCUCCUAAAAAGUAGCGGAGGCGUUCAAAGGUUCGUUCGAUCUGGACGGAAACCAGAUGAAUGAGUGCAAACGCAUAAACGAGCCUGACUGCGAGACUGACGGGUCGAGCAGAGACGAAAGUCGGAGUUAGUGAUCCGGUGGUAUGUGAGUGGAAAUGCCAUCGCUCAACGGAUAAAAGUUACCCUGGGGAUAACAGGCUGAUCUCCCCCAAGAGUCCACAUCGACGGGGAGGUUUGGCACCUCGAUGUCGGCUCAUCGCAUCCUGGGGCUGUAUUCGGUCCCAAGGGUUUGGCUGUUCGCCAAUUAAAGCGGUACGCGAGCUGGGUUCAGAACGUCGUGAGACAGUUCGGUCCCUAUCUGUCGUGGGCGCAGGAUAUUUGAAAGGCGCUGUCCCUAGUACGAGAGGACCGGGAUGGACGAACCUCUGGUGCACCAGUUGUCACGCCAGUGGCACAGCUGGGCAGCUAUGUUCGGAUCGGAUAAACGCUGAAAGCAUCUAAGCGUGAAGCCGGCCUUAAGAUAAGAUAUCCCACUGAGUCAAUCAGGUAAGACCCCUUGAAGACUACAAGGUUGAUAGGCACACAGUGUAAGCGGAGUGAUCCGUUCAGCUAGCGUGUACUAAUAGGUCGAGGGCUUGACCC